CCUUCCAUCUCCUGAGAUCCCAUCCAGUCUUUCAGUCAUGAGGAUCUUCGCCAUUCUUUCCGCUAUUCUCUUCAUGGUGCUGAUAGCUGCUCCAGAAUUUGCUGAUGGACAAGUAAACUCAACUAGAGAAUGCCGUCGUCGUCGUGGGUGCUGCCUUCGCGUUAGCCGUUGCCCACAAGGGAUGAGAAGACUUGGAAGGUGUGAUGGUCCACGUCAAACUUGCUGCAAAUGCAUGGGAGGUGUGAAUAUAAACGCGCCUGAGGGCGAAACAGAUUGGGAGGUGUGAUAAUCCACAUCAAGUGUGCUGCAAAUAUGGGUACUGUCAUGUUGCUGGCUACUCGUAGUGGAUUCCUGGGUUACUUCCAUGGCUUGAAGAAUCGUUGAUCCAGCUUUGUUUUGCUUUGCAACCCUUCUCCUUAUUUGCUAUGCAUUUGCGCUUUUAAUGUAGCUGAUCUUAAGCUGAAUUGUCUUUCUCUUUAAUCGAAUUAAAAAUAAAGCAUUUGAGCAUCUA